ACAAGUCAGACAGUUUGCCUCAAGAGAUUGAGUUCAGAAAAGAUUACUCCUUUCACACAUCUAAUUGAAUCAUCAUCCUUGUAUUUAAAUAUCAAAAACAAACUACUAUUGAUGCAAUUUCACAAAUUAAAAAAUCCAGUAAUAUUUCCUACAAUCUCAGAUUAACAACACUAAAACAAACAAUAAGCAAGUCAGACAGUUUGCCUCAAAAAAUAGAGUUCAGCAAGGAUUUCUCCUUUCAUACAUCUAAUUGAAUCAUCAUACUUGCAUAUUGUCCUAUAAAAUUAACAUUACAUUUGAAAAAAGUUUUAACAAAUGUUACCACUUGCUUUCUGAGACAUUAAUAAAGCACCAAUGAAACUGAAAUUGAAUCAGCUAAAUCUUUAAGUCAAAACUUACAAGAAGCCAUUAACCAAAGAUAUUAACAUUGAUAAAAAUAACAGAUCCAAUGGUAAAAGGGUCUAUGCCUCAUAAAUAAAUAAAAACAAGUGGUGGAAAAGAAUUCAUAGAAGGAAAACCCUAAUAUGAAACCUUAUAGUAAUUUAAUUUAGCACAGCAAUGACUCAAAACGCUUUCAUUUUAUUUGAAAGGCGAUCUUAAGGGCUGUGCUUAAACAUCAAAUCAAU
rnacentral:lncRNA from 1 species